rnacentral:ncRNA from 2 species
CACCGCAAGACGUGUGUUGGUGGUCGGACGCCCGUGCUCUCGGCGUCCGACGAACAGGGAACGCCGGUGUAAAUCCGGGACGGCCCCGCCGCUGUAACCGAGAGCCACAAGGAGCCCCAUUCUUCUGUGCCAUUGUCGUCUUCGUCCCGUGAGGGCCGCCGACGAUGAGAAGGCCGGGGUUUCUUGCUCGGAAGUCAGCAGACCUACCAACACGGUGCCGGACCG